rnacentral:lncRNA from 1 species
UUAACUUUGAAAUAUUCCAGGCUACAUAAAUUGAGUAUCCACUGUGUGUUCUGCUUGUCCCAGUAACUUUCAUCCUAUGGUCUCUGCAUGCUGUUAUUUUAGGUCAACCCUGCAAAAAUGGCAACACUGCCUUGUUCUGGGGUGGCAGUUGCCCUCAGCAUCCCAGUGCGGGCUGCAUCUGUAGCACCACACUGCACUGUGCGCAUGCUGGGCUGGCUGGGGCGCCGCGGCAGCACAGUGCUCGGCUCUGGUCCGGAGCUCAGCCCUCUCGGCAGCACCAGUUCCUCAGCGCUCCUCAUGGCCUGGCAGCGCAUCUGCCGCAGACACCUUCUCAGAAAAGUAACAGUCCAAAAUUUGCCAUUCCAAUGA